CCUACGGGUGGCAGCAGUGAGGAAUAUUGGUCAAUGGACGAGAGUCUGAACCAGCCAAGUAGCGUGAAGGAUGACUGCCCUAUGGGUUGUAAACUUCUUUUAUAAAGGAAUAAAACGAGGCACGUGUGCCUUUUUGCAUGUACUUUAUGAAUAAGGAUCGGCUAACUCCGUGCCAGCAGCCGCGGUAAUACGGAGGAUCCGAGCGUUAUCCGGAUUUAUUGGGUUUAAAGGGUGCGUAGAUGGGUUGUUAAGUCAGUUGUGAAAUUUUGCGGCUCAACCGUAAAAUUGCAAUUGAUACUGGCAGUCUUGAGUACAGUUGAGGUAGGCGGAAUGCGUGGUGUAGCGGUGAAAUGCUUAGAUAUCACGAAGAACCCCGAUUGCGAAGGCAGCUUACUAAACUGUGACUGACAUUGAUGCUCGAAAGUGUGGGUAUCAAACAGGAUUAGAUACCCGAGUAGUC
rnacentral:rRNA from 1 species